GUUUACGGCCACACCGGCCUGAGUACGCCUGAUCUCGUCCGAUCUCGGAAGCUAAGCAGGGUCGGGCCUGGUUAGUACUUGAAUGGGAGACCGCCUGGGAUACCAGGGCAAUAAGCU
rnacentral:rRNA from 1 species